rnacentral:rRNA from 1 species
AUUGAACGCUGGCGGCAGGCCUAACACAUGCAAGUCGAACGGUAGCACAGAGAGCUUGCUCUCGGGUGACGAGUGGCGGACGGGUGAGUAACGUCUGGGAAACUGCCCGAUGGAGGGGGAUAACUACUGGAAACGGUAGCUAAUACCGCAUAACGUCGCAAGACCAAAGUGGGGGACCUUCGGGCCUCACACCAUCGGAUGUGCCCAGAUGGGAUUAGCUAGUAGGUGGGGUAAUGGCUCACCUAGGCGACGAUCCCUAGCUGGUCUGAGAGGAUGACCAGCAACACGGGAUCUGAGACACGGUCCAGCCUCCUACGGGAGGCAGCAGUGGGGAAUAUUGCACAAUGGGCGCAAGCCUGAUGCAGCCAUGCCGCGUGUAUGAAGAAGGCCUUCGGGUUGUAAAGUACUUUCAGCGGGGAGGAAGGCGGUGGAGUUAAUAACUUCACCGAUUGACGUUACCCGCAGAAGAAGCACCGGCUAACUCCGUGCCAGCAGCCGCCGUAA